rnacentral:rRNA from 1 species
UGGGCAACCUGCCCUCAGCACUGGGAUAACCCCGGGAACCGGAGCUAAUACCGGAUACGAGACCGAUUGGCAUCUUCACGGUCUGGAAAGUUUUUCGGCCAGGGAUGGGCUCGCGGCCUAUCAGCUUGUUGGUGGGGUAACGCCACCAAGGCGACGACGGGUAGCCGGCCUGAGAGGGCGACCGGCCACACUGGGACUGAGACACGGCCCAGACUCCUACGGGAGGCA